ACUGUAGGCCUUCUGUUGAGCAGAGUUUCGAGUGUUGCUCCGAGUUCUCAUACCAGCAAUGAAAUUAAGAAGCUGGAGGAGAGGAUAUCCUUCUGAAAUCAGCCCUAAUGACACAGAUUUGCACCUGAUGUUGACUCUAAGGAACCCCCUUUACUGGACCUCCAGACAGCUCAUUUGUUAAAGGGCUCCUGAUUCACUAAAUACACAAACCAAAGGACCACCUUUCUUCACGGUUGUUUAGCAGCUCGUUUCCAAUUUCUCAUUCCUCGUCUUCCCAUCAGUUUUUUUACUGAGCACAGAAGACGCAGAUAUGAAUUGGAUCUUCUACUCAAUUCUCCUUACCAGUUCCCAGAAUCCUGCUCCUGUUUUUUAACACAGAGAAUUUGAAAGUCACUUGUGCAGUUAAGUCCAUGUAACACAGUUGGCACCUGUUAAAGCAUCCUAUACCUCCCUCUGUGGCCGCUUCUUGGUCUACAAAUUCAGUUUUAUUUAAGUUGGCUAACUCAGGUUCAUCUCUGAUCAUCUUGAAAGAAUCAUUCUCUUCUUCUUCCAGUGAGACGUCCCCGACUCUCUUAGGAUGUCAUAGCUAUCAUUACAGGUUCAGAGGUUCAGUCCAUUAUCAUCAAGAUGGGAGCAUGGCAGCAUCCAGACAGGCAUGGUGCAGACAGAGCUGAGAGGUCUACGUCUUCAUCGAAAGGCUGCUACUGGAAGACUGACUUCCAGGCAACUAGGGUCUGGAUCUUAUGCCCACACCCACAGUGACACACCCAUUCCAACCAGGUCACACCUAUUCCAACAAGGCCACACCUCCAGAUGGUGCCACUCUCUGGUCCAAGGAUAUAAAACCAUCACACACAUUUUGGUCUUUAUGUGGCUUCAUGGCUAUGAUAUGUCAUUCUAUCACUCCACUGGGUGCAUUCUUCUCAAGCCAACACUUUUUAUUGUUCUAUUAACAAAGACCAACAGGAAUAAUUUUAUUUCAUAGGGUAGAUCCAGAAAUGUCUAUUUACUAUUGUUCUUUCUAACAGCAUCAUGUAUGUAAUUCUAUGUCACAUGUAGUAUCAUGACUUCUGUCAUGAGAUAGCACGUUCUCCCUGAACUCCAAUCAUUGAGUUAAUGAGCUUUGUGUCAUGGUAACAAAUAAUAGAAGAUUAAUUUCUAACAAGAAAAUAUUUAUUUUGGAUUGGAUAUAAGGGGCUACAGUUCAUAGUUCAUGGCUCCCUUGCUUUGGGGCCUUUUUAGGGGAAUCAUGUCAUGGUGGGAAGUCCAUGAGAGAACGAAAGCAUUCACCUCAUGACUAGAAUAUAAAAGAGAAAAAGGAAGGACUGGGGCUCUGCUAUCUCCUUCAAGCCUAUGUCCCCCAAUUCCAUGAAGUUAAAUAUUAGACUAUUCUAUGUUACUGAAUUAAUUGGGAAACGGAGAAAAUUGGGAAACUAUAGGUUUUGAAUUGAUCACAGAACCCCUAAAAUAGAAACACUUCUCUGUACUAUGUCUGUCAUGUAAGCGGCUCUGAUCAUUAUAUCCAGUACUGACUGAGGAGACUGAGGGAGACACUUUUGGAUGGCUCCCAUAAGCAAAUCACAUUGCAUACCAGCAGUGUUUUGAAUUCAAAUUUGCUAAUAAUCGCUGCAGAUAAUUGUUAUAAUUUUGAGAAAUUGCUGCUGGCUUGUUAUCAGGCCCUAAAAGAGAACCAUUGGCUGUGGAAGGGAGAAUUUUCCUGAGUUAAUGAGCAUCAUCUAUAUCAUCUAUAUAUUUGUGAAGACAGGCGUUGUUCUUUAUCAUAAUAUGGAAGAGGCAUACAGAGUACUGAACUGAGCUCUGUGCUACACAGGCAAUCCUGUUUUAUCUAAACUGAUCUGACUAUCACAUUGCUGAGUGGCCAACCUGACAACAGGAGAGGCCAACACAAAACACAUGCUGGAUUCCAAUCUUUCGAGGGGUCCCUCAGCUGUCUGAUGGCACAUUAACUUUAUUAUACAAUCUGCAUAGCCAGGGGCAACACCUUGUUACUAUUGAAAAAGCAACUUACUUUGGGGUAUGGAAAUUUCUAUCUCAGUUCUUAGAGCUUCUGCCUAAACCCCCAUCCACAGAUUUACUGAACACCGAUUAAUAUUAUGAAAUUCUAUUGUUAUGAAAUUCUAUUGUUCUAAUGAAGGGACCUAAUAUGCUGCAUAAAGUGCAACUGAGUCCAUUCUUAGAGAAUAAUUUAUUACUCUCAUCAAGUUCAUUUUCAGUGUGAAGCAGCUGAUCUGGAAGAAUGAUUUUCUGGCAACUCAAGGAUGUGCCAGCUAGCUGUGGGACUUACUAUUCCAUAUAUGAUAUUAUUAUAGACCAGAUUAUAGAUUUCACGUACGAUGCUUUUUAUCCCAUAACCAAAAUUCAUGAGCCUGAGAACCACAUAGAAGAGAGUGUUACAAUUAGAACUCUGAGCCCAAAGACUAGAGUUUCCUUCCUUUCCCAACACAUUAGAUUUUGCUAGUCUUAUGUUCGCUAAGACCAAAACAGUAGUCAGAGAAGAAAAUGCUGCAUAACAUU
rnacentral:lncRNA from 1 species